rnacentral:rRNA from 1 species
CCUACGGGAGGCAGCAGUGAGGAAUAUUGGUCAAUGGACGAGAGUCUGAACCAGCCAAGCAGCGUGAAGGAUGAAUGCCCCAUGGGUCGUAAACUUCUUUUAUAAAGGAAUAAAACGAGGCACGUGUGCCUUUUUGCAUGUACUCUAUGAAUAAGGAUCGGCUAACUCCGUGCCAGCAGCCGCGGUAAUACGGAGGAUCCGAGCGUUAUCCGGAUUUAUUGGGUUUAAAGGGAGCGUAGACGGGUUGUUAAGUCAGUGGUGAAAGUUUGCGGCUCAACCGUAAAAUUGCAUUUGAUACUGGCAGUCUUGAGUACAGUAGAGGUAAGCGGAAUGCGUGGUGUAGCGGUGAAAUGCUUAGAUAUCACGAAGAACCCCGAUUGCGAAGGCAGCUUACUAAACUGGGACUGACAUUGAUGCUCGAAAGUGUGGGUAUCAAACAGGAUUAGAUACCCUUGUAGUC